AGAAUUACAGCAGCUGUGAGCUUACAGUCAGCUUCCUCGCGGGCUGAGAAGACCAGCUGUCACUGAGCUUUGGUGCCAGGAACAAUGGACAGGAUUCUGGGAGCAUCAUUCUUAAUUCUGUGGCUUCAACCAGGCUGGGUGAGUGGACAACAGAAUGUAAAAAGUGAGCAACAGCAGGUGAAACAGAGCCCUCAACCCCUGGUAGUCCACGAAGGAGCGAUUUCAGUUCUGAACUGUACUUAUGAGAAUGAUGCAUUUGACUACUUCCCAUGGUACCGUCAAUACCCUGGUCAAGGCCCUGAAUUCUUGAUAGCCAAAAGUUUGGUUGGAAAUAAAAAGGAAAAUGGAAGAUUCACGGUUUCCUCCAAUGGAAGUGCCAAACUCUUCUCAUUGCACAUCAAGGACUCCCAGCCUGGAGACUCAGCCACCUACUUCUGUGCAGCAAGUGCACAGAGCUCCCCAGGCACCUGCAGCCUGUACCCAAACCUGCAGCUGGGGCUCCAUGAAACCCUGCUGUGUAGACAAAAUGUUCACAAACAUACACACACAUAA